rnacentral:tRNA from 1 species
GCCAGUGUGGUCUAUUGGUUUGAGCGUUGGACUGUGACUCUGGAGACCAGGGUUCAAAUCCUGGUCCUGCCA